AUUUCGCUCGUCGUUAAACUUGACUUAUUACUGAGACUUCUAAUGAUCACUUUAAUAAGUCUUUUAAAUCCCUUCUUCAGCACCUAAUUUUUCAUCACUUUCCCAACUUUCCCUCCCUCUCUCUCUCUCUCUCUCUCUCUGUCUAUUUAACAUUCUCACGGGGAUUUUCAAUCGUAGCCACCGACGCCGUCUUCUCACCACCGUCUUCUCUCUCUCUCUCUCUCUCUCUCUCUGGGAUUCAAGAGCAACAUUUCUCUGUCAUGAAGUCCACCAUUUCUCUCCCAUUUCUCUUUUAUUUUCUUUCUAUUGGCUACCAAAAAAUCUGAGAGCAACAUUUCCUUUGCACGAAACGAAGCCACUCUAAACAUUACCCAUCGACGCAGCACCACUCAAGCCAUCUGGUAAGUAUGUGAUUUGAGAUUUUGUGAUUGUACCAUGUUUGUGACGAUUUUGCCAAUGGAUUUUCAGAAUAUGUGACUGAUUUGUUUUAUUGUGAUUGUAAUCAUUGGAUUUUCGAUUUUAGGGUUUGUAAUCAAGGGAUUUUCGAAUAUAGCUCAAGUCUAACAAAAAAUUUUUCAUGUUGGUUUUGAAAGGAUUUUAUUAGCUUUUAGUUUGAAUAUAUAGAGCUAAAAGAUUUCUUGAAUUGAAGUAAAAACUCUGAAUUUCUGUUUCCAACUCUGUUGUUGUUUAUUGUGGCUGUUAGUGUUGUUUAUUUGAAGUAUUGUGGCUGCUGUUGUUGUUUAUUUGAAGUAUUGUGGCUGCUGCUGUUGUUUAUUUGAAGUAUAUGUACAAUUAGAGACACACGAAACAACCUUAAAGAUAUAAUGUGAUGGGCUUUAGACAGCAGAAAGCUUUUAAAGGUUCAUUUGCCUUUUUAUUCAAGAAAUCUCAGAACCCACACUCUCAUUAGCCUUUUUAAAACUAGAUGUGCUGAAAUGUGAUGGGCUGAAAUUUUUGUGAUGGUAUUGUGAUGGGCUGAAAUGCAUGGCUUUGAGUAUAACUUUUCCUUUAUCCAAAUGACUGCUUCCUUUAAGUUAACCUUGGGGUGAAGAAAAGCCAAGUGUAGUACUUAAACACGCAAUUAAUUAGCUAGCUAGGCUGUAUCAUGCAUGAAAAUGUGCUAAAACUGCAUGCUUUACAUAUAUUAUUGAUAUUAGUGCAUGCAGGAUGUGUAAAACAUGCAUACAGCCGUAAGUAGUUGACAGAAAUUUUAUGUUCUGCCUUCUUGGCAUACUCCAGAAACUUAACAAAGAUGGACUGAAGCUGGACUGCAAUUCAGCUAGGAUAAUUAUACUAAAUAAACUGCCAACAAUCAAUUUUACACGGAAAUAGAAACAGACUACUUUUGUCUAAAACCUCAGCUGCUGUCCCACUCAUUAAGAGCAAAAUUAUUGGACUGCCCUUUUUAUGUUGGGGGUUGUUGAAACCCAAAUUCCAAGUCUUUUGGAUGAAUCCUCCAUUUUUAAUCUUAAUUUCUGUGUUUCUUUUAUGGAUCUUUUCAUAUACUUUGUAUUUGGUCAAAUGUUGUUGCAAUUAAAGUGAAACAGCUUCAUGACGCGCAUUUUUUUUAUUAAACUUGAUGAUAUGGUUCGUGAAGAUAGCAAAAGUGACUUUCCUUCUGUCCUAUUACACAAAGGAAUCUAUAUAUAUAUAUAGGUGCUGAUCAGGAACACUUGGAUCAGAUACUGUGCUCUUUUCGAAUCUGGAAGUCGAGUCGGAGAUAAUGUUAAUCAUGCAUCCGAGUCAUAUCUACCGACCGUUAUGGAACAAAAUAUUACUUCUGGAUGAUGACCACUAAAAGAUGGUUGGAUUUAUCUUUCAUCAAGUGGUAUAAGUUAGUGUAAAAAACACCUGGCUAGGUAGCUUUGACCUAAUCAACUGAAUCAUGUGUUUUUUCGUUCAUUCGGUUUACAUCAUGUGCAGGCCGUAUAUAUAUACAAACCUAAGAUUCGAAUACUAAUGAAUUUGUAUUUUAUAUAUAUAUAUGUAUUCUCUUUUUAAAACCGUUAAUUGUUGCUUUAUUUUCUUUUAUAUUAACCUUCUUUAAUUGGUUAAUUCCAUUCUUCUUUCGGUUUCAGUAUGAUAUAAUAUAUCAAAACAGACCAUGAUCAUACAUUUAUCCAUCUUAUAUAAAUGUUUGCAAACCUGUACAUUGAAUUCCAGGAAAGUACUGUUCAUCUUUUUCCAUCUAUUUAACUUUUUCACGCAGGUCUCAUCAUAUUUUAUAAUAUUUUUUUCAAGAAAAGUGUACGAUGCUUGCAGUAUUAAUUACAAAUAUCAUUUUUCUUUGCAAUUGGUACUCAAUUCUCUCUCUCUCUCUCUCUAGGAUCUGAUGUGUCUCCACUUGACUGCAUGAUAUUGAUGGCUUAUAUUAUUGUUUAUGUUAAAAAGAUCAUAUAUAGCUAGCGCAAGCAUGGUACUGAUUAAUUGAUAACCUAUUUACUAAUACGGAGAGGAGAACCCACUCCAUCAGAAAGGUAUUCCAUAGUAAAUGCAAAAUGAAGAAUCCUAAAGCAAAUCGCCACAUAGUAUGCAAAACAUUCAUACCUUGACACAUGCUAGCGCUGCAGCCUCUGUCAAAGCGUCAGUGCUAACAAUGGGAACAGCUUCCACUUCACAUUCUAAAUCGCUAGCUAUCAUCAUCCUGCAAUCCAAAUUUAAGGUAUAUAUACAAGUUGAGAGGCUUGAGUUAAGCCCGAAAUAAGGUUGUCCUAUAAGUGCCUAAUAAGUAAACAUUAACACCUAUGAGCUGUACAGAUUACACAUCAAGAAUUUGAAAUUAUAGAAUCAAAUUUCAGGCUUGAUCUGCUGUGCUUGAUUGCUUUAUUUUUAGAGAAGUAACAGCUUUCCUUAUAUACCCCCACAAGAUGGAGGUUCCAUCAAUAACUCCAAUCUUGGAACGUAAAUUUUGAAAUUUUUGUCGUGACAGAGGCAUUGUGAGUAGAUCCGCCAGUUGGUCUAAUGUGUGAACAUGAUUAACAGUUAUACGUCCCUUCUUCACAAGAGCACGAACAAAUAAGAGAUCAAUUUCAAUAUGCUUCAUUCAUUUAUGCUGAACUGGAUUUAGGUUGAACUGAGUGGAUCCAAUAUUGUCACAAAAGACUUGUGGUGUUUGCAUGAGUUUUAUUCCAAGUUCAUUGAGGAGGGAAUGAAGGCAAAUUGUUUUAGAGCUUGUUGCAAAUAAGGCACAAAAUUCAGCUUCUGUGGAGGACCCUAAGACAUCUUUUUGUUUGCGAGCAGACCAUGAAAUUGGGUUUGAUCCAAGGAAUGUGAUGAAUGUCGUUGUUGAGACUCUUGUAUCAGUAUUGGCAACCCAGUCUGCAUUGACAUAGGUGACUAGUUUUAGUGGACUACUCUUUUGGAUGAGUAUGUUGUGAAACAUUGUGUUCUUGAGAUAUCUUAAGAGUCUUUUGACUACAGUCCAAUGAGAAGAUUUCAGUUUGUGGAAGAACUAAGAGAACCUAUUAACUGUGAAGGCAAUGUCAGGUCUUGUGAGCCAUAGAUAUUGCAUGGCUCCAAUGACUCUUCAAUAUUUAGUGUUGUCUAUAGGUUCGGAUCCAUCAUUCAGAGUGAGAGGCUUGCUUGUCAACAUGGGUGUUUGUAUUUCUUUUGCUCCAUCCAUUGAAGUUUUAUUGAGCAUGUCCUGAAUGUCUUUGUGUUGCGAGAUGAAGACACCUUUGGGUGUACGGACAACUUCAAUACCCAGGAAAAAAAUGUAGAUCUCCCAUGCAUGUCUUUUAUAGAGAAUUUUUUUACUGAUUUGUUUGUGAUUCAUGUAACAAAACUUGAUUUAUUCCCUGUUAUAAUUAUGUCAUUGACAUACACAAUACAAUAGCAUAGGACAUUGUUAGAUGAAUAAAUGAAGAGGGAUGUAUCCAUAGCUGAGUGCACAAAA